rnacentral:lncRNA from 1 species
UUUACAAAAUAUUUCAUUCACUUGAACAACUCUAUAGUAAUUGUUUUCUCUUCUCCUUCCUCUUUUUAUUCAUUUUUUUAAGGAGUAUGUAUUGACAUGUAUUGAAAUAUUACAAGCAUAAUUCCUUUUUUUCUUCCUCUUAGCCUUCUAUUUUUUCAUUCCUUUUUUUUUCUUUUCUAUUUUCUUUUUCUAUUUUUUUUCUUUUUCU